rnacentral:rRNA from 1 species
CCUACGGGAGGCAGCAGUGAGGAAUAUUGGUCAAUGGGCGCGAGCCUGAACCAGCCAAGUCGCGUGAAGGAUGACUGCUCUACGGGUUGUAAACUUCUUUUAUACAGGAGUAAAGUGAGGCACGUGUGCCUUUUUGUAUGUACUUUAUGAAUAAGGAUCGGCUAACUCCGUGCCAGCAGCCGCGGUAAUACGGAGGAUCCGAGAGUUAUCCGGAUUUAUUGGGUUUAAAGGGAGCGUAGGUGGGUGGUUAAGUGAGGUGUGAAAGUCCGCGGCUCAACCGUAAAAUUGCAAUUGAUACUGGCAGCCUUGAGUACAGUUGCGGUAGGUGGAAUUCGUGGUGUAGCGGUGAAAUGCUUAGAUAUCACGCAGAACUCCGAUUGCGAAGGCAGCUUACUAAGCUGCCACUGACAUUGAUGCUCGAAAGUGUGGGUAUCAAACAGGAUUAGAUACCCCGGUAGUC